rnacentral:lncRNA from 1 species
UUGCUCAAAUUUUUCUUUUUCAAUACUUCUCUCCUCUUUUUUGCCAUCAACAAAAAGAGUCAAACAAGGAUACCUCAAAAACAUCAAUAAUAAAAGUGAUACCACAAAAUUAUAUUAUUAUAAAUGUAACAAGGAUAAUCAUAAGUAAGCAUGCAAAUUAUACCAAAAGAUUUAAAAAAGAUUACAUAUUCCUAAUUCUCC